rnacentral:ncRNA from 2 species
UCUUCGACAUGCGCCGCUGGUUCCGCCACGGGCGGAUGAAAAGGGAAUCCAGUGGCCCGGCCUUCGGGCCGGGGAAUCUGGAGCUGUACCCGCAACUGUGAGCCGUGGCUGCGGCCGGCGGGCGAAGAAGCCGACGGUCACUGUCUGCCCCGGGCAGAUGGGAAGGCCGGCGGUGGAGCCCGCGUCGGGUCCGUUCCGUCGUCUCGACGGAACCCACGGUGAGCCAGGAGACCUGCCAGCGGCGUCAGGCCGAA